GUUUCUGUAGUGUAGUGGUUAUCACGUUCGCCUCACACGCGAAAGGUCCCCAGCUCGAAACAGGGCAGAAACA
rnacentral:tRNA from 1 species